rnacentral:tRNA from 1 species
AUCUAAAUAGUUUAAAAAAAAUAUUAGUUUGUGAUAUUAAAGUUAUAAAAUUUAUUUUAGAU